UUUCGAACUGAAAAUAAAAUUAUAAAAAACUAAAAAAAAAUUAAGUCGGACCAGAACCGACUGAGAGUUUGAUCAACCUAUCCGAUUUCGGUUUAUCCCCUGGACUAGUCUUGAACCACAGCUUCCUGGCUAAAACCGGUGGUCAGGCCAAGUUAUCAUUGAUAUUUAUCGAACUAAAAUUUACUAUUUACUACAGGACUCCAAUAAAAAAGAAUGAGAUUCACGGAAAUGUUCAAAUAAAUGCAAAUUCCACCAGCCCAUGGUUUUGUAAAUCAUGAUGUGAGAUAUGAAGAAAGUAGUUGCAACUGGGUGAACAUGGUCAAAUGGGUGAGUGAUCUGUUGAGGCAAUUGACAACAUGAGACAUGGAAAAAGUAGUGGCAAUUGUUGCAAGUGCAGAUACAUCCAAAGGCUAUGAGCAUGCGAGCAGAACAUGAUCUGAGGACCUGCGUUUUGUGGUUGUUAAUUGGAGAGCUGCUAUAGGUGUGCGUGGCUGGAAUGCUGAAUUGCAGGUUGAGGUUCUGGAAGCUGUAUCUGAUAUAUUACCUGGGCGAGAAUUCACGCAGUAAUUACAAUGGAUUGCUAGGGAUGCAGUGCCUUUGUGUAGAUUCAAGUAAUGUAUGCUUAUGUGCUCAUGUAUGUUUGAGCAUGCAUGUACAUGCUUAUCAAUGGCAUACAACAUAAAUCCAACAUCAUAACAGUCAUUGGUGCUCCUAUCAAAAACUAGGUAGUGAAAUGGCCAAAUUGACUUCAACCAACCAAAGCCUCUGAUAACUCUUCUCCUGUUAAAUUUAAUAGGUAAUUAUAAGGAUUUGCACACAAAACUUUCCUCUUUAACAACAAAAUAAACUAACUUGUAUCGGGUGACAUAAAACUCUCUAGGAAGAUAUGAACAUCUAGAGUACAUUCAUCAUUUCAUCCUCUGCAUUUGUGAGGUGGAAAAGGAAAAGAAGGUUCAAAAUGUUAACUUACAUUCCUGCAGUAUUAGAAAAAAUUUACAAGUGUAAUAUAGCUAUAUUUGGUGGGAUGGAACGUAGAAACAAAGUAAUGGAAUGAGAGAUGCAAUGGAGAUCAUGCUCUUCUUAUGUUGGAUUACGGAAAUGAAAUCAAUGCAAUGAAAUGAUAAUUACCAUCUUUUUUCGUUUAGUUUAUUUGAUGAUGAUGGCAACAAUGGUGGAUUGGUGAGAGUGAAAAAAUAACUUUUGCUGAAUUUUAAUUCUUCAUUUAGAAAAACAGAUGGGGGGUUAAGUCUUGGUGUAUUAUGAUAAGGCUGCUCUUUUGAGAUUAGAUCAAAGUUUUAAGGCACCAAAAGCAACUAAUCUUUUCCUAAUUUGAGUAGGAGAAAUAUUUCUCAACAGGAUGGAGGAAUAUUUCCUAUAAUGAAUAGAACUUUUAUUUUAGUAUUAUUCCUAAAUUGAGUGACUCCUAAUCUGAUGUAGUGUUAUAAUAGUAAAUAUGUUGGGUUAUGUUUAGAGGAGAAUAAGAGGGACUAACUAAUAUAUUUACUAUGAACAGUUUGAUGUACUGUGGGAUCUCUUGAGUGUAAUUAGAUUGAUGGGUAGUAUAGUUAUGAGUUUGUAAUGAUGAUUUAUUUAUUGAUGAUAGUGGAAGAUGACAUGUCUGUAAAUGUAGUCCUAUGUUGAGAGGGUGAACCACGUAAAUAUUAGUAUUUUGUAUGUUUGCUUUAUUUCUUUACAGUUUACACGCUUUUUGCGGUGCACAACAAAUUGAUAUCAGAGCAUGGGGAUGAUCUUGGUGAGUUUGGUUGAAGGUGGAGCUGUUGCUACAUGUAGAAAAUCGCACAUGCAAUAAUGGUGGUGAUAGAGAGUUAAAUUGAGAUGGAGCUCUUGAUACAAAAUCAAGAUAGUUGAUGACGUGAAGAUUUUUUGAAGAAUAAAGCAAGUUACACCCAAGAUAAAGAUUGAAGAGUUGAUGAUUUGAAGGGUUUAAACUCAAACAUGGAGAUUUGAUAAUUUGAUGACACCCAAUAAUUUGAGGUGAGUCGGGACAGCCUUCUUCCUCCGCCCAGCCGCCACAGUGACCGCUGUCAAGUCUGUGAGUAAAAUAUUAAUUUUAAUUGUAAUUUCACUAUUAUUAUAUGUUCAAGCAUGCCCAUGCAUCACUUAUAUGUAUGUAUCUAUGUAGUUAAACUCUAGGCACGUUUUAUGUUGCAUUCAUAACUGUUAAAGUGCCAUGGAUGUUGUUGUGGUAAUUUGGAGCAGUGUGCGUGCGUUGGCGUGUGUGUGAUGUGGUGUUGACUAUGGAUAGGACGGGUAGACACGGCUUGAGAUCUUCGCUGGGACCCCGAUUUGGUUUAUUAAGCGAAAGUCCGGCUUGAGUUCUUCGCUGGCACAGGUUGGAUUUAAGAGAGCUGUAUAGGGGAUCAGCUCCCAUAUAUUAUGAUUGAUAUUAAUGGGUGUGUGAGUGCUCCAAAUUACCUUUUUGAUGUUGUGAUGUGAAAUUAUUGCUGAUGUUGCAUUUCACUCUACAGGGUGCAUUAGUUUUAGAUAGUUAUAGAGAUUAUGGUUAAAAUUGAUAUUUUACUCUUUGAGUCGAACGCUCACUCCUGUUCAAUAUUUUUCCAGGCCACAGGAGGAUAUUUUUGAGGUUAACCUGCUUUUCUCCCUCGCAGGUCGUCUAUUCAUGUUUGUGUAAUUCUAUAAACUUCUAGAAUUUCUACAUAUGUUAGAAGUAUUUAUUAAAUUGGGUCUGUAAUAUAAAUUAUUAUUUUGGACCUGUAAACUUAUUAUUUUAUGCAUGUUGAUGGACUGGAUGAGGGAGUUGAGCUCCUAUUUAUUUUUAUGUUGUUAUGAG